rnacentral:rRNA from 1 species
AUUGAACGCUGGCGGCAGGCCUAACACAUGCAAGUCGAGCGAGCGGCGGACGUGAGAGCAAUGUAUGGGGACUGCCUGAUAGAGGGGGAUAACUACUGGAAACGGUGGCCAAUACCGCAUACUAUCGGCUAACCCUAAUGGGUGUAGCUAGUAGGGGGGGUAAAGGCUCACCUAGGCGACGAUCUCUAACUGGGCUGAGAGGAGGAUCAGCCACACUGGGACUGAGACACGGCCCAGACUCCUACGGAGUCAGCAGUGGGGAAGAUUGCACAAUGGGCGCAAGCCUGAUGCAGCCAUGCCGCGUGUAUGAAGAAGGCCUUAGGGUUGUAAAGUACUUUCAGCGGGGAGGCGUUACCGGCAGAAGAAGCACCGGCUAACUCCGUGCCAGCCGCCGCGGUAAUAC